rnacentral:rRNA from 1 species
UGUCCGGAUUUAUUGGGCGUAAAACGAGCGCAGGCGGUUUUUUAAGUCUGAUGUGAAAGCCUUCGGCUCAACCGAAGAAGUGCAUCGGAAACUGGGAAACUUGAGUGCAGAAGAGGACAGUGGAACUCCAUGUGUAGCGGUGAAAUGCGUAGAUAUAUGGAAGAACACCAGUGGCGAAGGCGGCUGUCUGGUCUGUAACUGACGCUGAGGCUCGAAAGUAUGGGUAGCAAACAGGAUUAGAUACCCUGGUAGUCCAUACCGUAAACGAUGAAUGCUAAGUGUUGGAGGGUUUCCGCCCUUCAGUGCUGCAGCUAACGCAUUAAGCAUUCCGCCUGGGGAGUACGGCCGCAAGGCUGAAACUCAAAGGAAUUGACGGGGGCCCGCACAAGCGGUGGAGCAUGUGGUUUAAUUCGAAGCUACGCGAAGAACCUUACCAGGUCUUGACAUACUAUGCAAAUCUAAGAGAUUAGACGUUCCCUUCGGGGACAUGGAUACAGGUGGUGCAUGGUUGUCGUCAGCUCGUGUCGUGAGAUGUUGGGUUAAGUCCCGCAACGAGCGCAACCCUUAUUAUCAGUUGCCAGCAUUAAGUUGGGCACUCUGGUGAGACUGCC